CCUACGGGUGGCAGCAGUGGGGAAUAUUGCACAAUGGGCGCAAGCCUGAUGCAGCGACGCCGCGUGCGGGAUGGAGGCCUUCGGGUUGUUAACCGCUUUUGGUCAAGGGCCAGGCCCGGUCUUUGGCCGUGUUGAGUGGAUUGUUCGAAUAAUCACCGGCUAAAUACGUGCUAGCAGCCGCGGCAAUACGUAGGGUGCAAGCGUUAUCCGGCUUUAUUGGGCGUAAAGGGCUCGUAGGCGGGUCGUCGCUUCCGGUGUGAAAGUCUAUCGCUUAACGGUGGAUCCGCGCCGUGUACGGGCGAGCUUGAGUGCGGUAGAGGAGACUGGAAUUCCCGGUGUAGCGGUGGAAUGUGUAGAUAUCGGGAAGAACACCGAUGGCGAAGGCAGGUCUCUGGGCCGUUACUGACGCUGAGGAACGAAAGCGUGGGGAGCGAACAGGAUUAGAUACCCCUGUAGUC
rnacentral:rRNA from 1 species